AUGUUCCUUUAUGAUUUGUUACUGUUACGGCUGGUGCCUUAUUGUGUUUACUGUGUUGGUGGAGGAGUGAGAGCUCUUCCACAAUGUAAUAUCUAUCCAAAUGAGCAGGACAGCAGGGAGUGGCCAUCACCAAGGAUGCUGAUUGGGUCUCCCCAGGGUGUGGCCCUACAUAAGGACUGUCUACCCCAGAAGCUGGUGGAGAGCAGUAGUGGCUGUGUGACUCUCCCUUGCUUGCUGGCCACCAAGAGUGUAUCUGGCUGUGGGAAGUGUGUGUGUGUAUUCAGUGUCCCUGGUUUACCCAGCGUUUUGAGUUAUUUCCUUGUAUUCAGUGUUCCUGGUUUACCCAGCGUUUUGAGUUAUUUCCUUGUAUUCUCAGUGUUCCUGGUUUAACCAGCGUUUUGAGUUAUUUCCUUGUAUUCAGUGUUCCUGGUUUAACCAGCGUUUUGAGUUAUUUCCUUGUAUUCAGUGUUCCUGGUUUAACCAGCGUUUUAGUUUGAACUGUACCUGGAAUUAUUGUUUAUAUUUUGUAAAGAAGCUGUAGGGGUGAGCUGCCAUUUCAUUUUUUUUUUCUAGUGUUUUUGUGUAUAGGCUUAAUAUAGGAGUUUAUUUAUUAUUUUGGCCUUGGUUCACCCUGACGUUUAUGCUUCUGUUUUUGUGUUUAAUUGUUGGGCAAUAAAUGACCUUUGCCUUAUUCA
rnacentral:lncRNA from 1 species